rnacentral:rRNA from 1 species
UACGGGGGGGGCAAGCGUUGUUCGGAAUUACUGGGCGUAAAGGGCUCGUAGGCGGCCAACUAAGUCAGACGUGAAAUCCCUCGGCUUAACCGGGGAACUGCGUCUGAUACUGGAUGGCUUGAGUUUGGGAGAGGGAUGCGGAAUUCCAGGUGUAGCGGUGAAAUGCGUAGAUAUCUGGAGGAACACCGGUGGCGAAGGCGGCAUCCUGGGCCAACACUGACGCUGAGUGAGCGAAAGCCAGGGGAGCAAACGGG